rnacentral:snoRNA from 1 species
ACUGGAGGACUAAUCAGACUGAGUCUGAAGAGUGAGACUCAGAUGACAGUAGCCUCCUAAAAAGAAAAGGGAUGGAGAGAGCAGUCCUACUUACAGAAAAGCAAAGGACUGACUGUGCCAUCCAACACAA